AAAUGAAUAGACGGGGACCCGCACAAGUAGCGGAGCAUGUGGUUUAAUUCGAAGCAACGCGAAGAACCUUACCUAAGCUUGACAUCGUACUGACCGGGACUUAAUCGUCUCUUUCCCUUCGGGGACAGUAUAGACAGGUGGUGCAUGGUUGUCGUCAGCUCGUGUCGUGAGAUGUUGGGUUAAGUCCCGCAACGAGCGCAACCCUUGUCUUUAGUUGCCAGCAUUUUGGAUGGGCACUCUAGAGAGACUGCCAGGGAUAACCUGGAGGAAGGUGGGGAUGACGUCAAAUCAUCAUGCCCCUUAUGCUUAGGGCUACACACGUGCUACAAUGGGUGGUACAGAGGGAAGCGAGCCCGUAAGGUGGAGCAAAUCCCUUAAAGCCAUUCUCAGUUCGGAUUGUGGGCUGAAACUCGCCCACAUGAAGCUGGAGUUACUAGUAAUCGCAGAUCAGAAUGCUGCGGUGAAUGCGUUCCCGGGUCUUGUACACACCGCCCGU
rnacentral:rRNA from 1 species